rnacentral:rRNA from 3 species
CGAAAGGCUCAUUAAAUCAGUUAUGGUUCCUUAGAUCGUACCCACAUUUACUUGGAUAACUGUGGUAAUUCUAGAGCUAAUACAUGCAAACAGAGCUCCGACCGGAGACGGAAGGAGCGCUUUUAUUAGAUCAAAACCAAUCGGUGGCGGGUUCGCUCGUCAUCGUACAUUUUGGUGACUCUGAAUAACUUUUUGCUGAUCGCACGGUCUAGCACCGGCGACGCAUCUUUCAAAUGUCUGCCUUAUCAACUGUCGAUGGUAGGUUCUGCGCCUACCAUGGUUGUAACGGGUAACGGGGAAUCAGGGUUCGAUUCCGGAGAGGGAGCCUGAGAAACGGCUACCACAUCCAAGGAAGGCAGCAGGCGCGCAAAUUACCCACUCCCGGCACGGGGAGGUAGUGACGAAAAAUAACGAUACGGGACUCAUCCGAGGCCCCGUAAUCGGAAUGAGUACACUCUAAACCCUUUAACGAGGAUCAAUUGGAGGGCAAGUCUGGUGCCAGCAGCCGCGGUAAUUCCAGCUCCAAUAGCGUAUAUUAAAGUUGUUGCGGUUAAAAAGCUCGUAGUCGAAUCUGUGUCCCGCGCCGUCGGUUCAUCGCUCGCGGUGUUUAACUGACGUGUCGUGGGACGUCCUGCCGGUGGGCUUAGCUCGUUCGCGGGCGGCCCAACUUGAAAUCCCACCGCGGUGCUCUUCAUUGAGUGUCGAGGUGGGCCGGCACGUUUACUUUGAACAAAUUAGAGUGCUUAAAGCAGGCUAAAAUUUCGCCUGAAUAUUCUGUGCAUGGAAUAAUGGAAUAGGACCUCGGUUCUAUUUUGUUGGUUUUCGGAACCCCGAGGUAAUGAUUAAUAGGAACGGAUGGGGGCAUUCGUAUUGCGACGUUAGAGGUGAAAUUCUUGGAUCGUCGCAAGACGGACAGAAGCGAAAGCAUUUGCCAAAAACGCUUUCAUUGAUCAAGAACGAAAGUUAGAGGUUCGAAGGCGAUCAGAUACCGCCCUAGUUCUAACCAUAAACGAUGCCAGCUAGCGAUCCGCCGACGUUCCUCCGAUGACUCGGCGGGCAGCUUCCGGGAAACCAAAGCUUUUGGGUUCCGGGGGAAGUAUGGUUGCAAAGCUGAAACUUAAAGGAAUUGACGGAAGGGCACCACCAGGAGUGGAGCCUGCGGCUUAAUUUGACUCAACACGGGAAACCUCACCAGGCCCGGACACCGGAAGGAUUGACAGAUUGAGAGCUCUUUCUUGAUUCGGUGGGUGGUGGUGCAUGGCCGUUCUUAGUUGGUGGAGCGAUUUGUCUGGUUAAUUCCGAUAACGAACGAGACUCUAGCCUGCUAACUAGGCGUAUUUUCGACAUCCUAAAGGCCCGCCGGCCCGGCGUUCGCGUCGCGGUCGUGCGCGGUUUUUACUGUCGGCGUACAAACAAUUCUUCUUAGAGGGACAGGCGGCUUCUAGCCGCACGAGAUUGAGCAAUAACAGGUCUGUGAUGCCCUUAGAUGUUCUGGGCCGCACGCGCGCUACACUGAAGGAAUCAGCGUGUCCUCCCUGGCCGAGAGGCCCGGGUAACCCGCUGAACCUCCUUCGUGCUAGGGAUUGGGGCUUGCAAUUGUUCCCCAUGAACGAGGAAUUCCCAGUAAGCGCGAGUCAUAAGCUCGCGUUGAUUACGUCCCUGCCCUUUGUACACACCGCCCGUCGCUACUACCGAUUGAAUGAUUUAGUGAGGUCUUCGGACCGGUACGCGGCGGCGCUCCCGCGUCGCCGAU